UGUAGCUAUCAAUUCCGUAGUGCAUUGCAGUUGGUACUAGAAAAUACUGCAAGCGCUGCGGACUUGCUAACUCUGAU
rnacentral:pre_miRNA from 1 species